GGCCUGAUGGUGAAAUGGUUAUCACGUCUGCUUUCUAUGCAUUUGCCCGCAAUUGGUGAGCGGAGGUUUCCUUGUUCGACUCAAGGCCAGGCCG